rnacentral:rRNA from 1 species
UGGGGAAUAUUGGACAAUGGGGGCAACCCUGAUCCAGCAAUGCCGCGUGAGUGAUGAAGGCCUUAGGGUUGUAAAGCUCUUUUGCCAGGGACGAUGAUGACGGUACCUGGAGAAUAAGCCCCGGCUAACUUCGUGCCAGCAGCCGCGGUAAUACGAAGGGGGCUAGCGUUGUUCGGAAUUACUGGGCGUAAAGGGCGCGUAGGCGGUCUGAUAAGUUAGAUGUGAAAUUCCCGGGCUUAACCUGGGGGCUGCAUUUGAUACUGUCAGGCUUGAAUCCAGGAGAGGAUAGUGGAAUUCCCAGUGUAGAGGUGAAAUUCGUAGAUAUUGGGAAGAACACCAGUGGCGAAGGCGGCUAUCUGGACUGGUAUUGACGCUGAGGCGCGAAAGCGUGGGGAGCAAACA